GAUGAACGCUGGCGGCGUGCCUAAUACAUGCAAGUCGAGCGAAAAGAUGAGGAGCUUGCUCCUCUGACGUUAGCGGCGGACGGGUGAGUAACACGUGGAUAACCUACCUAUAAGACUGGGAUAACUUCGGGAAACCGGAGCUAAUACCGGAUAAUAUAUUGAACCGGAUGGUUCAAUAGUUAAUGGCGGUUUUGCUGUCACUUAUAGAUGGAUCCGGGUCGCAUUAGCUAGUUGGUAAGGUAACGGCUUACCAAGGCGACGAUGCGUAGCCGACCUGAGAGGGUGAUCAGCCACACUGGAACUGAGACACGGUCCAGACUCCUACGGGAGGCAGCAGUAGGGAAUCUUCGGCAAUGGGCGAAAGCCUGACGCAGCAACACCGCGUGAGUGAUGAAGGUCUUCGGAUCGUAAAACUCUGUUAUUAGGGAAGAACAGAUGUGUAAGUAACUAUGCACGUCUUGACGGUACCUAAUCAGAAAGCCACGGCUAACUUCGUG
rnacentral:rRNA from 1 species